UGCAGCAAUAUCUACUUGCUCGGAGGAGCCUGUCGCUACCCGAUCUGCGGUGCCUACCAGAUUUGCGCGCGCAUGCGCACGCAUGCGCAGAGCUUAACUUUACGACCUUGCACGAUCUGCGUUUUUUUUACUUUGCGACACGAGUCCCCAUCCGAUUUGUCUCGUGCACGCGCUCUCUGCUUAAUUAAAAUUCAUUUCAUGACACUGCCCGAUUUGUUCUGCGCAUGUCGAAUGUUUUACGACACACGAGAAAUAAGGUUACCAUGGGAUUUUAAUUUGUCGGUCUGCAUUAACAAAUAGAACUUCCGCCAUUCGAGUGAGAAGGACAAAGAAGAACGCUGUAAAGAAUAGGAGCAUAUUGAAUUUUUUUCCUGGCAGAAGAAUAUUUUUCACUUCUUGAAAAAAUGAAGACUUUUCAAUUUUACAACGACUUGAAAGAAUAUCUUUUACGGGAAGAAUUUAGCAACAAUUUAACGGUCAGAGAGCGAAGUGAAAUACGACGUGUGUCCGUGAAUUUUAUGAUUAAAGUCCAUCAUCCAUGCCCUGGCUGCUCAACAGGGUGUAUCUGGACAGGAGGCAGAAGACUUAUUUCUUGGUGGCCCAGAAUACAGUAUCAGUGAUGCCCUUUGCCCUGCACCCUGGUCAAGUCUUGUGCAACUGACUGUGGUGCUGAAGAGAGAAGAUUUCUGAAGACCCUCUUGAAAUGGAGCUGCAAUUGGAUUAACACUACAACAGUGUGCUUGGUGAGAAUGUCCACAGGGGCCUGGGGAGGCUGUGACCUUGUGACCCUGAGACGUUGUUUUGUCAAACAUCCUGACCAACUUGACCUUUUUGUGUUCUUCAACAGGGCCAUCUGACCAUCAGAUAUAUUUAAGGAGUAGGACCUUUCAAUUUUUCUGUUGUGUACUUUUUAAUUGUGUAUAUAUAUAUUUUCGUUUUCACAAAGUUAUAUAUAUUUGUUAAGCAGUUUAGCAGUUUGGGCUUUAUUAGUAUUAAAAUAUGUUAGAGAAGUUAUUUGUGGAAUAAUUUUAAUGAUCAAAAUAGCAAAAAAAUGUAACUUUAAAUUUUCUGUGCUCUGGGUAAAAUAUGUUAAAGCU